GUCUACGGCCGUGCCACCCUGAACAAGCCCUAUGUCUGAUCUCAGAAGCUAAGCAGGGUCGGGUCUGGUUAGUACUUGGAUGGGAAGACCAGAUGCUGUAGGCA
rnacentral:rRNA from 1 species